rnacentral:rRNA from 1 species
CCCGCUGAACUUAAGCAUAUCAAUAAGCGGAGGAAAAGAAACCAACAGGGAUUGCCUCAGUAACUGCGAGUGAAGCGGCAAAAGCUCAAAUUUGAAAUCUGGUACCUCUGGGUGCUCGAGUUGUAAUUUGGAGAGGCAACUUCGGAGGGGGCGCUGGCCUAAGUUCCUUGGAACAGGACGUCACAGAGGGUGAGAAUCCCGUGCUUGGCUGGCUGUCCUCCUUCAUGUGAAGUGUCUUCGACGAGUCGAGUUGUUUGGGAAUGCAGCUCAAAAUGGGUGGUAAACUCCAUCUAAGGCUAAAUACUGGCGAGAGACCGAUAGCGCACAAGUAGAGUGAUCGAAAGAUGAAAAGCACUUUGAAAAGAGAGUUAAACAGUACGUGAAAUUGUUGAAAGGGAAACGCUUGAAGUCAGUCGCGUCGGCCGGAACUCAGCCUUGCUUCUGCUCGGCGCACUUUCCGGCCCGACGGGCCAGCAUCGGUUUCGUGGGGCGGACACUGGUGGGGGGAAGGUGGUGGCCCCUGGCCGCGUUAUAGCCUCCCGUCGCGAACGCCCCGUGGGACCGAGGAAUCCGGCGUGAGCCUGGGAUGCUGGCGUAAUGGCUUUAAACGACCCGUCUUGAAACACGG